UAUCCUAACCGUGCGAAGGUAGCGUAAUCACUUGUUCUUUAAAUGGGGACUAGUAUGAAUGGCAUCACGAGGGUUAUACUGUCUCCUUUUUCUAAUCAGUGAAUCUAAUCUCCCCGUGAAGAAACGGGGAUACACCUACAAGACGAGAAGACCCUAUGGAGCUUUAAAUACCUCUUCAAGCGCUAUGAAGACAACUUUAGGUUGGGGUGACCGCGGAGUACAACAUAACCUCCACGCUGAAUCAGACUCUUUAGCCUGAGCCAAGAGCCACUGCUCAAAGCACUAAGAAAUUAACAUUUAUUGACCCAAAACAUUUGAUCAACGAACCAAGUUACCCUAGGGAUAACAGCGCAAUCCAUUUCAAGAGUCCAUAUCGACAAAUGGGUUUACGACCUCGAUGUUGGAUCAGGGUAUCCCAGUGGUGCAGCCGCUACUAAUGGUUCGUUUGUUCAACGAUUAAAACCCUACGUGAUCU
rnacentral:rRNA from 1 species